rnacentral:rRNA from 1 species
GAUGAACGCUGGCGGCGUGCCUAAUACAUGCAAGUCGAGCGAACGGACGAGGAGCUUGCUUCUCUGAUGUUAGCGGCGGACGGGUGAGUAACACGUGGAUAACCUACCUAUAAGACUGGGAUAACUUCGGGAAACCGGAGCUAAUACCGGAUAAUAUUUUGAACCGCAUGGUUCAAUAGUGAAAGACGGUUUUGCUGUCACUUAUAGAUGGAUCCGCGCCGCAUUAGCUAGUUGGUAAGGUAACGGCUUACCAAGGCGACGAUGCGUAGCCGACCUGAGAGGGUGAUCGGCCACACUGGAACUGAGACACGGUCCAGACCCCUACGGGAGGCAGCAGUAGGGAAUCUUCCGCAAUGGGCGAAAGCCUGACGGAGCAACGCCGCGUGAGGGAUGAAGGUCUUCGGAUCGUAAAACUCUGUUAUUAGGGAAGAACAAAUGGGAAAGUAACUAUGCACGUCUGGACGGUACCUAAGCAGAAAGCAACGGCUAACUACGU